ensembl:lncRNA
GUUAAUUCAGGGCUUGAUUGGCUGCCUCCAAGCUGGGUCCUGGAGUGGGUAGAGCUGAGCACGUGCACCCUUUAAAAGCAUGCUCUCAGGAUGCUAUAGUCCUGUGGGUCUCAGGAUGUGAGCCCUGUUUGCUUUCAAAGUUAGAGCUUUUGGGGGCUCAUCUCUCAGGUGCAGGUACUGAAAGAACUGUGAAUCUUUGUUUUUCCUGGACCAAACUAAAGUGAACUUCAUUCCUGUCUGAUCUUUCCCCAUCUUCAAAAGUGGAAGCACUGGAAGCUCCUUUGUUCAAGAUCCACCCACAGAAUGACAGGAGGUUAAAGAUAAAAAGUUUACUAGAGUAUGUGAGGAACCAGAGAUCAAAUUGCCAACAUCCGCAGGAUCAUGGAAAAAGCAAGAGAGUUCCAGAAAACAUCUAUUUCUGCUUUAUUGACUAUGCCAAAACCUUUGACUGUGUGGAUCACAAUAAACUGUGGAAAAUUCUGAAAGAGAUGGGAAUACCAGACCACCUGACCUUGAGAAAUGUAUAUGCAGGUCAGGAAGCAACAAUUAGAACUGGACAUGGAACAACAGACUGGUUCCAAAUAGGAAAAGGAGUACGUCAAGGCUGUAUAUUGUCACCCUGCUUAUUUAACUUAGAUGCAGAGUACAUCAUGAGAAACACUGGGCUGGAAGAAGCAUAAGCUGGAAUCAAGAUUGCCGGGAGAAAUAUCAAUAACCUCAGAUAUGCAGAUGACCCCACCCUUAUGGCAGAAAGUGAAGAGGAACUAAAAAGCCUCUUGAUGAAAGUGAAAGAGGAGAGUGAAAAAGUUGGCUUAAAGCUCAACAUUCAGAAAACGAAGAUCAUAGUAUCUGGUCCCAUUACUUCAUGGCAAAUAGUUGGGGGAAACAGUGGAAACAGUGUCAGACUUUAUUUUUUUGGGCUGCAAAAUCACCGCAGAUGGUGAUUGCAGCCAUGUAAUUAAAAGACGCUUACUCCUUGGAAGGAAAGUUAUGACCAACCUAGAAUAGCAUAUUCAAAAGAAGAGACAUUACUUUGCCAACAAAGGUCCAUCUAGUCAAGGCUAUGGUUUUUCCAGUAGUCAUGUAUGGAUGUGAGAGUUGGACUGUGAAGAAAGCUGAGUGCCGAAGUAUUGAUGCUUUUGAACUGUGGUGCUGGAGAAGACUCUUGAGAGUCCCUUGGACUGGAAGGAAAUUCCACCAGUCUAUUCUAAAGGAGAUCAGUCCUGUAUGUUCUUUGGAAGGAAUGAUGCUAAAGCUGAACUCCAGUACUUUGGCCACCUCAUGCGAAGAGUUGAUUCAUUGGAAAAGACUCUGAUGCUGGGAGGGGUUGGGGGCAGGAGGAGAACGGGACGCCAGAGGAUGAGAUGGCUUGAUGGCAUCACCAACUCAAUGGAUGUGAAUUUGGGUGAACUCUGGGAGCUGGUGAUGGACAGCGAGGCCUGGCGUGCUGCGAUUCAUGGGGUUGCAACGAGUCGGACACGACUGAGCGACUGAACUGAGAGUAUGUGGACAUUUAAGUAGGUGAUUUUAAAUGAUAAAUCUUACAGAGGGCAUACAAAGUAAGGGGAAAGAGAAAUGUUUCAGUUUUAACCCUUAGCAGUAUUUUUCUUCAGUUUCCUCAAAUGAUUAGAGCAUGAGGAUAAGUAGAAUACAUGACUGGAAAACAGGCUGGGGCCAUAUUGUAGAAGUCCUCGAAUGCCAGAAUGGAGAGUUUGUCAUUAACUAAGACCACAAUGGGGUGCCAUUGACUCUUUUGAGUAGGGGAAGCUGUAUUCUUAAAUCUAUGCCUUCAAAAGAUUAGUUCAAUAGAAGUAUCUGGGUUGUCUCAGAGAAGGAAGAGAUGAGAGGGGAAGGCAAUUUAUCUAUUUCAGGAGUCUCAAUGUGUGAUACCAAGAGUUUAAACUAAAUAUAAGGUGAGUCAUCACAAAUGUGACUUCAGAUAGCGACAGAAAGUUUGGAAGAUGCUGGCUAUUAGACAAAGCCUGGAUAUGGAAACAAAAGAUGAUAUAUGGCUUGACAACUACUUUGAAGUUUAACUCUGUGUGAUAUAAAGGAUGAUAAAGAAUAUUAACAAAAAAUUGAAAAUUCUGGGAAAAGUGGUAGAUGGGGGAAAGAAGAUGCAUUCAAAUUAGCAACUUCUCACUUUGGGAUCUAAAUGCAAUGUUCAAAUGAAGAUGUCUUGGAGAUGAGUG